UGUUUCACCAAACCUGUGAAUGUAAGUAGAUUCUUAGCCACUGCUCCGCCCGCCGCCUCUGCUGCCAAGUGUCCGAGAAGCCGAUCGGAGCGUUGUUUUAUCGGGUCCAGCAGGUGACGUCAGCCACACGUGGUCCCGAAAGUAGGCUGUGCGUCUUUCGCUGCAGUAGUCGGUGCAGAUGCACUCAGCCAGCCACAGUCCGGGUCCUGAACGAGUUCCACAGUCCACGGCUGCCGGUCUACAGAUGGCUUCAAGGGUCACCCAAACCUGUGAAUGUAAGUAGAUUCUUAGCCACUGCUCCGCCCGCCGCCUCUGCUGCCAAGUGUCCGAGAAGCCGAUCGGAGCGUUGUUUUAUCGGGUCCAGCAGGUGACGUCAGCCACACGUGGUCCCGAAAGUAGGCUGUGCGUCUUUCGCUGCAGUAGUCGGUGCAGAUGCACUCAGCCAGCCACAGUCCGGGUCCUGAACGAGUUCCACAGUCCACGGCUGCCGGUCUACAGAUGGCUUCAAGGGUCACCCAAACCUGUGAAUGUAAGUAGAUUCUUAGCCACUGCUCCGCCCGCCGCCUCUGCUGCCAAGUGUCCGAGAAGCCGAUCGGAGCGUUGUUUUAUCGGGUCCAGCAGGUGACGUCAGCCACACGUGGUCCCGAAAGUAGGCUGUGCGUCUUUCGCUGCAGUAGUCGG
rnacentral:lncRNA from 1 species